UGGGGAAUCUUGCGCAAUGGGCGAAAGCCUGACGCAGCGACGCCGCGUGCGGGAAGAAGGCCUUCGGGUUGUAAACCGCUUUCAGGAGGGACGAAGCCACUCGGGUUAAUAGCCCAGAGGGUGACGGUACCUCCAGAAGAAGCCCCGGCUAACUACGUGCCAGCAGCCGCGGUAAUACGUAGGGGGCAAGCGUUGUCCGGAUUUAUUGGGCGUAAAGAGCGUGUAGGCGGCCAGGUAGGUCAGCUGUGAAAACUCGAGGCUCAACCUCGAGAUGUCGGCUGAAACCAUCUGGCUAGAGUCCGGAAGAGGAGAAUGGAAUUCCCGGUGUAGCGGUGAAAUGCGCAGAUAUCGGGAAGAACACCCGUGGCGAAGGCGGUUCUCUGGGACGGUACUGACGCUGAGACGCGAAAGCGUGGGGAGCGAACAGG
rnacentral:rRNA from 1 species